CACCCCGUCGCCGUCGCCGCUCCCGAGCGCGCCGCUCCAUGUGCCCGGACUGGACAAGGAAACGUACUUGUCGCCAUCGAAGUAGCCAGCGCUGGAGUUGAUGAGCACCGUGGCGUUGGGGAUGGAGAUCUCCAGCACCUGCACGGUGCCGUCGCCAAGGAACAGCAGCUCAUCCGCCGCCGCCGCUGGGCCAUCGCCGUUCCUCCUCCUGCAGGUGACGUUGAAACCGGGGAGGUAGCACCCGGCCUCCACGCCGAACGGGUACGGGAUGCUCAUGUUCCCGCACCGGCUCCUGCAGCCGGGAAGCGUGAUAUCAUCCUCGUCACCGGCCAACACCGCCACCGUCGUCGCUGCACACAGCACCACCAAUGCGGCCGCCACUCUUCUGCUCAUCGACAACCCUGCUGCGCACUACAACGGAACCGAGCGUCCAUCCGAG
rnacentral:misc_RNA from 1 species